UACAAUUACGUGCACAGAUCUUUGUCUAUGGAGCUUUGAUUCAAGGCACAGUACCGGAUGGGGCUUACAUGAUAUCAGCCUUUGGGGGAUCAGAUGGUGGUAGGAACCUUUGGGAGAAUGCUUGGCGUGCCUGCAUGGAAAGGCAACAUGGUCAAAAAUCUCAUCCUGCUAACCCAGAAACACCUGUGCAACCACGAUCUGGUAUUUUUUGUUAUAUAGCUUGUCUUUGAUGUUAUUUGACUUGUUUGAUUAACUCCUGGAAAUUGAGAUCUGCAGUUGCUAAAAGCUCUGUUUUGCUGCCUAAGCAAAGUGCUAUUCAAGGGAAAAGUAUCUCUUCACCACUUGGUCGAACCAGCAACAAGGCUACUCCACCAAUUGUAAACCCCUUAAUACCUCUUUCAUCCCCCCUUUGGAGUCUAUCAACUCUGGGUUUAGGUGGUGAUUCUCUGCAGUCUAGUGCCCUUGCAAGAGGUUCUGUUGUGGAUUAUCCACAGGCAAUUACUCCAUUGCAUCCUUAUCAAACUACUCCUGUAAGGAACUUUCUUGGACCUAACACACCUUGGAUAUCCCAGACACCCCUCCGAGGAACGUGGAUUGCUUCUCCAACUCCUGUACCUGACAAUAGCACCCAUAUUUCUGCAUCACUUGUCUCAGAUACAAUUAAGCUAGGCCCAAUCAAAAUAUCUCAGCCUCCUUCCUCUAGCAUAAAGAAUGUUACUUCUGGUCUCCCUACUUCUGGUGCAGCUUUUCAAAGUAUCUUUGCAGGAGCUGCCUCGUUGAUUGAUGCAAACAAUAUGGCAGUAUCACCUGCUCAACAUGCUUCAAUAUGCUUGGAAUGGCAAUGCCUCCCACAGUUGAGGCUCCGGUCAAGAACUUAGUAAAAUUCACCCAGAUGCAAAACAAAAAAUUAAAA